rnacentral:rRNA from 1 species
GUGCCAGCCGCUGCGGUAAUACGUAGGGGCAAGCGUUAUCCGGAAUUACUGGGUGUAAAGGGUGAGUAGGCGGCAUGGUAAGUUAGAUGUGAAAGCCCGAGGCUUAACCUCGGGAUUGCAUUUAAAACUAUCAAGCUAGAGUACAGGAGAGGAAAGCGGAAUUCCUAGUGUAGCGGUGAAAUGCGUAGAUAUUAGGAAGAACACCAGUGGCGAAGGCGGCUUUCUGGACUGAAACUGACGCUGAGGCACGAAAGCGUGGGAGCGAACAGGAUUAGGAUACCCUGGUAGUCCACGCCGUAAACGAUGAGUGCUAGGUGGU